rnacentral:rRNA from 1 species
CCUACGGGAGGCAGCAGUGGGGAAUAUUGCACAAUGGGGGAAACCCUGAUGCAGCGACGCCGCGUGAGUGAAGAAGUAUUUCGGUAUGUAAAGCUCUAUCAGCAGGGAAGUAAAUGACGGUACCUGACUAAGAAGCCACGGCUAACUUCGUUCCAGCAGCCGCGGUAAUACGGAGGGGGCAACCGUUAUCCGGAUUUACUGGGUGUAAAGGGAGCGUAGACGGCCAGAUAAGUCAGAAGUGAAAGCGCAGGGCUCAACCCUGGGACUGCUGUUGAAACUGGCGGGCUGGAGUGCAGGAGAGGUAAGCGGAAUUCGUGGUGUAGCGGUGAAAUGCGUAGAUAUUAGGAGGAACACCAGUGGCGAAGGCGGCUUACUGGACUGUAACUGACGUUGAGGCUCGAAAGCGUGGGGAGCAAACAGGAUUAGAUACCCGGGUAGUC